AUUGAACGCUGGCGGCAGGCCUAACACAUGCAAGUCGAACGGUAACAGGAAACAGCUUGCUGUUUCGCUGACGAGUGGCGGACGGGUGAGGAAUGCCUGGGAAACUGCCUGAUGGAGGGGGAUAACUACUGGAAACGGUAGCUAAUACCGCAUAACGUCGCAAGACCAAAGAGGGGGACCCUCGGGCCUCUUGCCAUCGGAUGUGCCCAGAUGGGAUUAGCUUGUUGGUGGGGUAACGGCUCACCAAGGCGACGAUCCCUAGCUGGUCUGAGAGGAUGACCAGCCACACUGGAACUGAGACACGGUCCAGACUCCUACGGGAGGCAGCAGUGGGGAAUAUUGCACAAUGGGCGCAAGCCUGAUGCAGCCAUGCCGCGUGUAUGAAGAAGGCCUUCGGGUUGUAAAGUACUUUCAGCGGGGAGGAAGGGAGUAAAGUUAAUACCUUUGCUCAUUGACGUUACCCGCAGAAGAAGCACCGGCUAACUCCGUG
rnacentral:rRNA from 1 species